GUUGAUUUGGAUCUCCAUCUGCUUUCAAGCCUGGUAACCAUCCCUGAAUGUUUGUGAUUGUGGGAGAUUCAAUUCUCUUAGGUUCUGGUGCGGAGACAACAAACUUGUAUCCGCCAGUAGUUGCAGUAGCUGGUUGACCAGUUGCAUCAUUCCUCUUGAUGUCAGACAACACAGUAUCAAUGUCAUCAUUCUCAAAAGCGAAAUACACAGGAUAAGGUAUGUUGGCAUGUAUAAGUAAUUUUUCAAGCUCUGCCAAUACAGUCUUCAUCAGCCCUUUUUCAUGCACCUGAUCCUCACUCCCCGUGGCACCUCUAUCUUCAAAAUCAAAGAUUUGAGGAAGCAAAAACAACAAUCCUCCCAGAGGCUUUCUUUGAGUAAUAUACUCUUUGACAAAAGUAAUGUUGAGUUCGCGAAUAGGGAUGAUGACGACAGUACGCGAAAGAUCGGCACCAGGAGUGAAAUGCAAGGAGCCGGCGUGAUGAUUGAGGGUAGCGAGGCGAGAUCCGAAGGGGACGCCAGAGAUGUCGUACUGAAUGAGACGGUAGACGUCGACGACGGUGGCAGCGUCACAAAGCUCGACGCAGGCGACGAGAAUGAAGACGAGGGCGAUCAUGGAAUACAUGGAGUCCAGCAUUUGUGACUGGCGCGAUUUGAAGGGAAACAUGAUAGUGGAAAGGAAAGGAUUGGACGGGAUGAAUCUAGGGUUCUAACAACUGAUUUGAU
rnacentral:misc_RNA from 1 species